rnacentral:piRNA from 1 species
UUGUUGUGAAGAUUAAAUGGGUUAGCUC